rnacentral:rRNA from 1 species
UACGUAGGGUGCAAGCGUUGUCCGGAAUUAUUGGGCGUAAAGAGCUCGUAGGCGGUUUGUCGCGUCUGCUGUGAAAACUGGAGGCUCAAUCUCCAGCCUGCAGUGGGUACGGGCAAACUAGAGUGCGGUAGGGGAGAUUGGAAUUCCUGGUGUAGCGGUGGAAUGCGCAGAUAUCAGGAGGAACACCGAUGGCGAAGGCAGAUCUCUGGGCCGUAACUGACGCUGAGGAGCGAAAGCGUGGGGAGCGAACAGG